CCCUGAUGUCAAUUUCAUUUAUCAUUUAUACAGAUGAAAGGAGAGAAGGAACUUAUUGAAAAGAUAUUGCAAACAGAGAUAAAUAUUUUCCGUUCAAUCAGAGAUGGGAGUGCACUUAUGCAGCAUAUGGAGGAUUUUUAUUACAUCACAUUGCUAGAGAAUGUUAGAUCAAACUAUCAGAGUGUUAACAGCCCAAAUUCUGCAAAAGCAGAUAGCUCAUCAGUUGGGUGACCUGGUGAAUAUUGUACAGUUGUUGCUCAUCACUUGCAGCUGAAGAUACAUUGAAGUAGGCAGUUCUCUGGUAACAGUGUGCUUAAUCUCAAGAUGGUGUACCGUCUGUGGUUGACAAAUGUACAGAAUUCCUAGUUUCCAUAGCUUUACAAAUACCCAGAUCACUGUUUAAAUUUAAUAAAUAGGCAUCUUGUACUUUAAAGUUUAAAUGAUGCCAAUCAUACAUGUAUAAUAUGUUGAAACCAAAAUUUAUCCAAUUCUUGUAAUAUGUAGGUUAUUUUUUGAGAACAUUGACCACCGAAUUUGUAGUUGUAGUCAUUGACUUGUUUUUGUUGUUGCUGUUGUAAUCGUUAUUCUUGCUACGUUUGUUACAUUCCUUCUGUCUGUGUUUCCGGGGAGGAGUUGAGCUGAUUGGAGAACAGUUCACUAAUUCAAGUCUAUUUUAAAAGCAAUA